AGUGAACGCUGGCGGCGUGCCUAAUACAUGCAAGUCGAACGGAGUGGCGCACGGGUGAGUAAUGUAUAGCUAAUCUGCCCUACACUAGAGGACAACAAUUGGAAACGGCUGCUAAUACUCUAUAGUGUAGGAUGAGGCUAUAUUGUAUCAGCUAGUUGGUGAGGUAAUGGCUCACCAAGGCUAUGACGCAUAACUGGUCUGAGAGGAUGAUCAGUCGAACUGGAACUGAGACACGGUCCAGACUCCUUCCGGAGGCAGCAGUAGGGUGUAUUGCUCAAUGGGGGAAACCCUGAAGCAGCAACGCCGCGUAGAGGAUGACACUUUGCGGAGCGUAAACUCCUUUUGUUAGGGAAGCGGUACCUAACGAAUAAGCACCGGCUAACUCCGUGCCAGCAGCCGUGGUAAUAC
rnacentral:rRNA from 1 species